UAAAGAUUUAUCGGUGAAAGAUGAGCAUGCGUCCCAUUAGCUAGUUGGUAUGGUAACGGCAUACCAAGGCUACGAUGGGUAGGGGUCCUGAGAGGGAGAUCCCCCACACUGGUACUGAGACACGGACCAGACUCCUACGGGAGGCAGCAGUGAGGAAUAUUGGACAAUGGGCGCAAGCCUGAUCCAGCCAUGCCGCGUGCAGGAUGACGGUCCUAUGGAUUGUAAACUGCUUUUAUACAGGAAGAAACACCUCUACGUGUAGAGACUUGACGGUACUGUAAGAAUAAGGAUCGGCUAACUCCGUGCCAGCAGCCGCGGUAAUACGGAGGAUCCAAGCGUUAUCCGGAAUCAUUGGGUUUAAAGGGUCCGUAGGCGGUCAGAUAAGUCAGUGGUGAAAGCCCAUCGCUCAACGGUGGGAA
rnacentral:rRNA from 1 species